rnacentral:rRNA from 1 species
ACCACCACCGGCGAACCAGUCCCACGGAGAUACGCCGGCCGCGGCGCGCGUCCCCCCCCGGGGGUCGCGCCGCCGCGGGCUCGGAAGAACUACCCUUCGGGCGCGGCGAGCGCCAAGGAAUCGAAAAGCGGAGAGGGCGGCCGCCUCACCCGGCGCGAGCGCACCCCUGCCGGGGACGCGGCGCCGCCGUGGGGAUCCGCCGCCCGUCUGUGAAUCUCUUAGACGACUCUCGGCAACGGAUAUCUCGGCUCUCGCAUCGAUGAAGAACGUAGCGAAAUGCGAUACUUGGUGUGAAUUGCAGAAUCCCGUGAACCAUCGAGUCUUUGAACGCAAGUUGCGCCCGAGGCCACUCGGCCGAGGGCACGCCUGCCUGGGCGUCACGCCACCCAUCGCACCCCCCCCGCGGCAUUCCCAUGCCCCGCCGGGGAGCGGAGACUGGCCGUGCGUGCCCGAGCCCUCGGCGCGCGGUCGGCGGAAAAGGAGGGCACCGUGCGGCGCGACACGGCGUGUGGGGGUUGAGAGGCGACUCGUCGCCGACCGUACGUCGCGCCCGCAUUCCGCCGCGCGCAGUGUCACCCGCGGGACCAGACGCGCCCGCAGCCGCGGGCGCUCGGACCGCGACCCCAGG